rnacentral:rRNA from 1 species
CAGCGUGGAUGAGGCAUGCAAGUCGAACGAAGUAUAUGGGUAACUAAAGCUGUACGUUAGUGGCGGAAGGGUUAGGAAUACGUGGAUAACCUGCCUCUGACUUCGGAAUAACGGUUGGAAACGACCGCUAAUACCGAAUACAGUGAGGGUGAGGAUCUUUCUUCGAUUAAAGCGGGGGAUCGUAAGACCUCGUGGUAAGAGAGGAGUCCAUGGGAUAUCAGCUUGUUGGUGUGGUAAUGGCUCACCAAGGCUAAGACGUCUAGGCGGAUUGAGAGAUCGACCGCCAACACUGGGACUGAGACACUGCCCAGACUCCUACGGGAGGCUGCAGUCGAGAAUCUUUCGCAAUGGGCGAAAGCCUGACGAAGCGACGCCGUGUGUGUGAUGAAGGCUUUCGGGUUGUAAAGCACUUUCGCUUGGGAACAAGAGAUGUAGGCUAAUAUCCUACAAAUUUGAGGGUACCAGGUAAAGAAGCACCGGCUAACUCCGUGCCAGCAGCUGCGGUAAUACGGAGGGUGCAAGCAUUAAUCGGAUUUAUUGGGCGUAAAGAGCGCGUAGGCGGAAAAGUAAGUCAGUUGUGAAAUUCCAGAGCUCAACUCUGGAACUGCACCUGAAACUACUUUUCUUGAGGAUAGGCGGAGAAAUCGGAAUUCCACGUGUAGCGGUGAAAUGCGUAGAUAUGUGGAAGAACACCCGUGGCGUAGGCGGAUUUCUAGCUUAUUCCUGACGAUGAGGCGCGAGAGCAAGGGGAGCGAACAGGAUUAGAUACCCUGGUAGUCCUUGCCGUAAACGAUGCAUACUUGGUGUAGCUGGACUCAACCCCAGCUGUGCCGGAGCUAACGUGUUAAGUAUGCCGCCUGGGGAGUACGCUCGCAAGGGUGAAACUCAAAAGAAUUGACGGGGACCCGCACAAGCAGUGGAGCAUGUGGUUUAAUUCGAUGCAACGCGAAGAACCUUACCCAGACUUGACAUGUAGUAGACCGCAUCAGAAAUGAUGCCUCCCUUAGUGGCUGCUACACAGGUGCUGCAUGGCUGUCGUCAGCUCGUGCCGUGAGGUGUUGGGUUAAGUCCCGCAACGAGCGCAACCCUUGUCAUUAGUUGCCAACAUUUUAGGUGGGAACUCUAAUGAGACUGUCCGGGUUAACCGGGAGGAAGGUGAGGAUGACGUCAAGUCCGCAUGGCCCUUAUGCCUGGGGCUACACACGUGCUACAAUGGCCGGUACAGAGGGCAGCGAAACCGCGAGGUGAAGCAAAUCUCAUAAAACCGGUCCCAGUUCGGAUUGUAGUCUGCAAUUCGACUACAUGAAGUUGGAAUUGCUAGUAAUGGCGUGUCAGCAAUAACGCCGUGAAUACGUUCCCGGGUCUUGUACACACCGCCCGUCACAUCAUGGAAGUUGGUCUUACCCGAAGGCAGUGCUCUUAACCGCAAGGG